UACGUAGGGUGCAAGCGUUGUCCGGAAUUAUUGGGCGUAAAGAGCUCGUAGGCGGUUUGUCGCGUCUGCUGUGAAAUCCCAGGGCUUAACCCUGGGCCUGCAGUGGGUACGGGCAAACUAGAGUGCGGUAGGGGAGAUCGGAAUUCCUGGUGUAGCGGUGAAAUGCGCAGAUAUCAGGAGGAACACCGGUGGCGAAGGCGGGUCUCUGGGCCGACACUGACGCUGAGGCGCGAAAGCUAGGGGAGCGAACGGG
rnacentral:rRNA from 1 species